CAGCCGCCGCGGGAAUACGUAGGGUGCAAGCGUUAAUCGGAAUUACUGGGCGUAAAGCGUGCGCAGGCGGUUUGUUAAGACAGAUGUGAAAUCCCCGGGCUUAACCUGGGAACUGCAUUUGUGACUGGCAAGCUAGAGUCUGGCAGAGGGGGGUGGAAUUCCGCGUGUAGCAGUGAAAUGCGUAGAGAUGUGGAGGAACACCGAUGGCGAAGGCAGCCCCCUGGGCCAAUACUGACGCUCAUGCACGAAAGCGUGGGGAGCAAACAGGAUUAGAUACCCCGGUAGUCCCUGUCUCUUAUAA
rnacentral:rRNA from 1 species